GAGCGAGGCUUGCCCGCGAAGAACGAUGACGCGGUCUAUCUGUUGCACCGCGUUAUCGUUCUUCGCGGGCAAGCCUCGCUC
rnacentral:misc_RNA from 1 species